GUUUUCUUAGUACAAACAGUACAAAUGACUUCCAAUUAUUUAAUCUUGGUUUAAACCCAGGAGGAAACA
rnacentral:tRNA from 1 species